CAAAAAAGCUCGGUUAUACUUGUAACUACAUUUACUGGCACAGCGAUCAGUGAUAAAAGACUUUAGUGCGUCAAGUGCAACCCUUUGCACAUGCCGGUUAUUUAAUAUUAGUCCUGCGACCUCCUCAACCCGGACAUUUCUUACUUCGGAUAUUGCCCUGAUCACGUGCUGCCUCAUUUCUCGACGCUGACUUUCCGUCAAAUCAUUCAAAAUGACCUCACUCAGGGGCUUAAACUUUCCUGUAAUUCAAAGACUGAUAAGAAUGGGGUUCAGCAUGCAUAGCUGGGGACUCUUACCCUCCGUAAGUCCGUAGGCGGUGAGUCCACCGAUGACCCCGCCCACUGCCAGUCCACGGGGGCCCAGCAGUAAACCUCCGAUCAGCGCAGCCCCAGCGCAAAUUGCAGCUCCCUUGCCGGACUCCUCGAAGGUGAGGAUCUUUCUAGCAACUGACUGCAAACACGCGCUUAUCAGUUAUCAGUUAUGUAUAAAUGUACAUUUCCCAGUGGGGAGGAGAGUUACCCGAUAGAAAACAAUCCAUCGAAAUCAUUUUCAAUCUAUCGUUGGUAUUGAGCUUCGCAUAUAUGUACAUAUAUAUUGAAAGCUUUUUUAGAAUUACCCCAUAUUAGAACCCUUAAAGUAUUGAGAAACCAAGUAUAGAGAGUCCUAGAGUUCAGUUUGAUUAUACUCUUUUACUCCAAUAAACAAAGAAAAAGGUAGAAAAUUUA